CGAGCGGUGAGCGUACAGAGCCGCCUCAAGUCAUUCCUCACCAUAGCUGAUGCUUACAUCCAGGGGAAGGUGGAGGGCGGGCGGAUCGACGAGGCGGAACUGAUGCGCCACCUGAUGGACGUACGCGGCCGGGUGCACGUCGCGAUUGCAGAUGACUUUGACACGCCGCGUGCGAUGGACGCCAUCAUGGAGCUGGUAGCCGUCUGCAACCGUCUGCUGAAACACGAGCCGGGGGUCAAGCCGGAGCGCGGGAUGAGAAGUCCGGGAGCAAUGGCCGCUGUCGUCGCUUACAUCGACCGAGUUCUAAACGCUGUCGGCAUCAGUU